rnacentral:tmRNA from 1 species
GGGGGCGAAUGGUUUCGACCGGGCAGGUUGAGGUCUGGGUGGCGUGUCGAGGUUGCUAGGAGGCCUCGUAAAACACCUGGCACACUGUUUACAUGCCAGAGAUGGCUACCGAAUGGCUGCCUAAGUAAGGCAACCCGUCGGCCCCGCGACGCCUGCUAGCGGGUGCCGGCGCCAUUAGCAGGCUGGCUCGUGCGGCCUGGUUGGGAACCGGUUCCACCGGUCACCAAUCGGGAAUGCCUGGCGACGCACGGGCGACACUAAGCCGGGCUCGGUCCGUCGAUGAGCUGUCGGCCGGUCUGCGGCGG